GACGAACGCUGGCGGCGUGCCUAAUACAUGCAAGUAGAACGCUGAAGGAGGAGCUUGCUUCUCUGGAUGAGUUGCGAACGGGUGAGUAACGCGUAGGUAACCUGCCUGGUAGCGGGGGAUAACUAUUGGAAACGAUAGCUAAUACCGCAUAAUAGUAGAUGUUGCAUGACAUUUGCUUAAAAGGUGCAAUUGCAUCACUACCAGAUGGACCUGCGUUGUAUUAGCUAGUUGGUGAGGUAACGGCUCACCAAGGCGACGAUACAUAGCCGACCUGAGAGGGUGAUCGGCCACACUGGGACUGAGACACGGCCCAGACUCCUACGGGAGGCAGCAGUAGGGAAUCUUCGGCAAUGGACGGAAGUCUGACCGAGCAACGCCGCGUGAGUGAAGAAGGUUCUCGGAUCGUAAAGCUCUGUUGUAAGAGAAGAACGAGUGUGAGAGUGGAAAGUUCACACUGUGACGGUAUCUUACCAGAAAGGGACGGCUAACUACGUG
rnacentral:rRNA from 1 species